GGGCCUGGGUUCUUUAGGUUUAAGGCUGAGAUAGACUUCAAUGGCGUAGUGCUGGUUCAAAAUUAUCUAGAGAGAGCUGGACGUGAAGAGUGGGCUAAACAGUUUCGAGAGGCUUCAGAGCAGAAGGAUGAUGCAGCUUUACUGAAAAUGAUGUCAAUCUACGGUGAGGAAGUUGUCACAGCACUAGGGAGUGAAGUUGAUAGGCUAGAAAAAGAAAUCCAGGAAAUAGUUCCAGGCAUUAGGCAUGUGGACAUUGAAGCCCAUAAUCCAAUUGUGCCAACCCCAUGAGUAUAUAGCUUAAUAAAUAUAUUGAGCUAUGCGAACUUGUUCAAAUUAUAACAAAAUGGCAUACAUGAUUGAUGAAUUCUGGGAAUAUCAUUAAAGCUUGGAUGCUACCAAGGAAGCUUUCUCUACACCGACAUUUCAGUGUAGGGGAUAAUGAUCCUCUGCUUAUAUUUUUCUUGUGAGAAAGAAUAGAAGCUUUUAAUCAUUUCCAGCUACGGUUGUGCUAGUGCAAAGAAACUCAGUGACAUAUGAAAGGUGCCUUGGAGAGAUUAGAUAUCCAUUAUUAGCAGUGUAAAGAACGGUUCCUGGUUAUUACUCUCUAUACUAUCAAUUGUUAUUAUGUAAUAUAUGAACAUUAGAGACAUCAGACAAGUG
rnacentral:misc_RNA from 1 species